rnacentral:rRNA from 1 species
AGAGUUUGAUCAUGGCUCAGAGCGAACGCUGGCGGCAGGCUUAACACAUGCAAGUCGAACGGGCCCUCGGGUGUCAGUGGCAGACGGGUGAGUAACACGUGGGAACGUACCCUUCGGUUCGGAAUAACUCAGGGAAACUUGAGCUAAUACCGGAUACGCCCUUACGGGGAAAGGUUUACUGGCGAAGGAUCGGCCCGCGUCUGAUUAGCUAGUUGGUGAGGUAAUGGCUCACCAAGGCGACGAUCAGUAGCUGGUCUGAGAGGAUGAUCAGCCACACUGGGACUGAGACACGGCCCAGACUCCUACGGGAGGCAGCAGUGGGGAAUAUUGGACAAUGGGCGAAAGCCUGAUCCAGCCAUGCCGCGUGAGUGAUGAAGGCCCUAGGGUUGUAAAGCUCUUUCGACGGGGACGAUAAUGACGGUACCCGUAGAAGAAGCCCCGGCUAACUUCGUGCCAGCAGCCGCGGUAAUACGAAGGGGGCUACGUUGCUCGGAAUCACUGGGCGUAAAGGGCGCGUAGGCGGAUCUUUAAGUCAGGGGUGAAAGCCUGAGGCUCAACCUCAGAAUUGCCUUUGAUACUGAAGAUCUUGAGACCGGAAGAGGUUAGUGGAACUGCGAGUGUAGAGGUGAAAUUCGUAGAUAUUCGCAAGAACACCAGUGGCGAAGGCGGCUAACUGGUCCGGUUCUGNNGCUGAGGCGCGAAAGCGUGGGGAGCAAACAGGAUUAGAUACCCUAGUAGUCC